UGUGUGUGUGUGUGUGUGUGUGUGUGUGUGUGUGUGUGUGUGUGCGCGCGCGCAUGCGCAUUAGUGCAGACAUACAACCUCUGCACCC
rnacentral:miRNA from 1 species